AAUGAUACAAAGAGAGUUCUUGAGGACAUUUAACUACCAUUAUGGUUGUUGUCCCUAGAAAUUUUCAGUUAAUUAAUAAUCAUAUAUCUUCCCUCUGCUGAUCAAUAUAGAAGCAAUAAAGACUGUUUGAUGCCGCUUUUGAAUUUCCAGAUUUAAGUUUGCAGACCUGCUCCUUUUCCUGCUUUUGCUCUCAGCAACUUUCAGACACAAGACUAUUCACUUAUGUGCACAUCAAGUCUAGUGAUACAUGGACACUUUUUAAAUCGGCACGGCACAACACGG
rnacentral:lncRNA from 1 species